CACCAAAGGGCCCACCUCACAAAGCAGGUGAGAAACCACCUCACACCAAACGGCCAACAUCACCAAGGGGAUGAGAAACCACCUCACACCACAGGGCCCACAUCACACAGGG